GCAGGUAUGGUUCAUCGGUAGAACAUCAGCUUCCCAAGCUGAGGAGGGGGGUUCGACUCCCCUUACCUGCU
rnacentral:tRNA from 4 species